CUCACAUAUCUCAUUAAUUAUUUGCAUUCACGUUGGUCGAUUCAUACUUUGCUUUGUAGAUGUUAAUUAGCAGCAAGUAUGGCAAAACAAUUUGAUAGUUGUUGCAUCUUCAACUAGGCCUGUUUAACGCUAUGUGAAGAAUGAUCUGUAGUAAAUCCCAAGUAAUUUGUAUAUAAGGCUCAAAGUUUUUAAAGGCGAAAGCGUAAGGCGAGGCGUUUUUGUGUUCGUGAGGCGAGGCGUAAGCCUCGAGGCGUUGAGGCGUAAGCUUUUUGAGCCUUACUUUAUAUAAUUAAUUAAUAUUUUAAAAUAUAUAAAAUAAAAUAGCAUAAAUAAAAACAUGAAAAUAAUUCAUUAGAAUCAUAAAAAAAACAUACUUUGCCUAAUUUAAUCACAAAAUUAUUGUAUUGUCAAAUAUAAUGAAUGAUUAAUCUGCUUUAUUAUAUGUUUAAUCUUUUUAUAUUUUAUAAUAAAUUUGUCCUUAUUAUAUUAAACUUUUUUAUAUUUUAUAAUUUUAUAUUUUAAAAAGUAUGAUCGUGAUUGAUGGAAGAUUUUUAUUUUAAAAAAAAAAUUAUUAGUAAUAAAUCACAUUGAUCAUUAAAUUACAUAAAAAAAAAUUAUAUUUUUUAAUUUAUUUUUUUCAAUGGUGUGAGGUUUGGUUAACAAUUAGACAACCAUUUUCUUAAGAAAAUCGUAUUUAAUAUUUAAAAGUAAGUGUUAUUUUCCGGUUGAAAGGAUUAUCGGCCCGAACCUUUGUCAACCUCACAGAUAAAAUAGAAGAAUAUUGUUUUAUACCAAUAAUUAUAUUAUCCGCCGCCGCUGGAGUUCCUAAACCGCCACUAAAGAUUGCCUACCGCACGCUUUCUCUGACUUUUGCACCUAAGCCCUGAGCAAUGGGGCCAUACCACUAGCCCCAUUAAAAAAUGGUGGAAAUUAAGGAGAGCGUGGGGGAAAGGAUACCGGGGAAGAGGAACGAAGAGGGAGAAACCAUGGAAGAGGGAGUUCGCAACAUACCUGGAGAUGAGAGGGAUUGCCGCCGGAGAAGAUCGCUGCAAUUGGUCGCCGCCGAAGGUGAGCACUCCGUCGCCGCUUGACUGGAAGAGGUAGGGUUUGUUUUGGGUUUGUUUUCAGUCGGGACUGGGGUUUUAGGUAUUCUUAGGGUUUUUUUUUUAAAUCUUUCAUUGCCACAUCAGAUCCGACGACGCGUACGCCUCACCGGAAAAGCGUGAAAGGCGCGAUCAAAGCGCGCCUCAGUCACGCCUCACCAGAAAAGCGUACGCCUUUCAGGUGUUUCGCUUUAUUUUUAACGCCUCAACGCGUUUUCGCUGCGCCUCGCCUCAAGGCGCGCCUCAAGGCGCGCCCCACCAACGCCUUUAAAAACACUGAUAAGGCUUUGUCAAUUAACUUGAGAUUAUAAGAAUAUAAAUUUAUGAGAAAAAAUUCAAUAUUUCAUCAUUACUGUCUGCUAUGGCUCUAGAACCUCUUUUCCAUGGUUUUGACUGCAUUUAGAGAACUUAGGUGCAAAAACUAAAGGAAACCACAAACACCACAACAUGCAUGUACCUUUGAGAAAGCAACAAAAUUAAUUUGUCCUAUUCUAGCAUCUUUGUGUUUGGUUACAUCCACAAUUUUUGGCACAUGCACAGCAUCUCUCAUUGAAAAGUUUUUCCUCUUCCAACUGGUUAAUAAAUGAUCCUAGAAAAUCAUUUUCUAAGGAAGGGAAAAUAGGUGCACAAUGGCUUUCUUGGGCCUUGAUUUAGGUUUCUGAGCUCCUUAUCUUCAUUAGCUGGAUAUACUCCCCUUUCUAUGAAUAGACCAUCAUGCAUACGCUCAAAUAAUUGAUGAAACACCUUCAAUUUGAUCUGAGAUUAGGAGUAAAAUAAAUCAUAUAGUCAAUUUAAUGUGCCAAUCAUUUGGAGUAAUGCUCCUAUCUGGUUGAUGCACAUCACAGUGCAGCUAGCCCAUCACCAUUUCCUUUGAGUAGGUCCACUAGCUAGGAGGGAGAUAUAACCCAAACCAUGGACCUACUCCCAAUCAUGUCAUGUGGCCCCCAUCACAAGCUUCAGUCAGGCUAGGAUGGCCAUGACCUGUGAGCAUGGUCCAGUAGUGGGCCUCAUUUGAGUGAUUGUACACUGAACUUAGUUUCUUAGUAGACCAUGAUCCAAACCCUGUUUGGGACAAUAAUUUUUUUCAAAUGAUCAGGUUCAAUCAUGACCAUAAACCAUCUGCUUUUGAUCCCUUAGUACAGCAGCCAAAACUUAUAUAACAACAGAGUGUUUUGUCAUUAAGUGAAGACAAAACAUUUUUAUCAUUAAUUUUCUUUCUGAUUACGUCCUUGACCCCUUCCAUCAAUUUCCAAUUAAACAGAUUGAUGAUUCAUAACUGUACUGUUAGACCAAAAUGCAAUUUAAACAUAAAAUAUGCAAAUCAAAGGUAAAGGCAUCAAGAGAGUAGCUGGGGGUGUUUUUCAAUAUAUGCAGACUGGAAGCAUGCCCUACCAUUGACCCAAAAAUAAACAAUUUAACCGAUAAGUCUCACAGACAAACUUCCAAUCAAGAAAAUUAUUUAGCUCUAAAGCUCCUACAGUAUCACGCAAAAAUGAAAGAACAAACAAUAUUCUUCCCGUAAAAAUAUUUGAAGGCGCCAAAUAUGUAAACAUGCGAUAGUUCCUCCUCUGUCGUCACUCUUCCUAGCUAAGUGGAAUAUAUACACAUACGUUAAAUGUAUAGACAAGUAAAAUAAAGAAAUAUACAUACACACAUGCAUGUAUAUUUGAAGGAAAAAUAUCAAAUAACUUA
rnacentral:lncRNA from 1 species